rnacentral:pre_miRNA from 1 species
AAUAUACUCCAUCCGUCUCAAAAUUCUUGUCUUAAAUUUGUUUAGAUACAGAUGUAUCUAAUAUUAAAAUGUGACUUGAUAUAUCCGUAUCUAGACAAAUCUAAAAUAAGAAUUUUGGGACGGAAGGAGUAGUUC